rnacentral:lncRNA from 10 species
AAGCCUUCUGGUCAGGCCAGUGAGGAGCAGUGGCAUCCUUCCAGCAGCCAUUGGCACCAUUCCAUGAUCUGGCAGCUGGAGCAGCAGGAGGGGAGGGGCCAAGUGGAUGCCAGGAACCUGAUAGCCAAUGGAAAGGAAAGAUAAGGAGGACAGUUGGAACCGCAUGGGUGACAGAAGGUGACCUGGAGGGAAGGUGAGUAGGACAGAUGGUGGAGGUGGCAGACAGUGGGGUGAGAGGGGAGCUCCACAUCCAACCCUUCCCUGGCUGAUCACAUGUGGUCACUCCAAUCCAUUAGGGAGGGCGAACACUGUCUUGUGUUGAUUGUACAAGGAAUGGAGCUCAGUGUAUGAUGAUUCUCCUCUAUCGUACUUAUAGCAAAGACACCAGCAAUUUGCUAGUGGAUGUGAGGAUCUUACUCAACCCCGAACUGCACAAACAUGAUAAGAACACAGCAGAUACCUGCUGCUUAGGAGGGUGUCCAGAGGACUUUGGCAUCAUAGUCUGAGCUGAUGUUUAGCCAGGACACACACCAUAAAGGCCAUACUGAUUGUGUAUGGUCAUUGCCCAAAA